rnacentral:rRNA from 1 species
CCUCCGGGUAUCAUCAUUGAUUAUUAUUUUUCAAUUGCCUGAAGGCUGAACCAGCCAUGCCGCGUGAAGGUCAGUGCCCUAUGGGCGUUAAACUUCUUUUGUGCGGGAGCAAUAAUGGUCACGUGUGGCCAGACGAGAGUACCGUACGAAUAAGCAUCGGCUACCUCCGUGCCAGCAGCCGCGGUAAUACGGGGGAUGCAAGCGUUAUCCGGAUUUAUUGGGUUUAAAGGGUGCGUAGGCUGUGAGGUAAGUCAGCGGUGAAAUGCCCCCGCUCAACGGGGUGAAGUGCCAUUGAUACUGCCUUGCUGGAAGGCGGAGGCCGUGGGAGGAAUGUGUGGUGUAGCGGUGAAAUGCAUAGAUAUCACACAGAACACCGAUUGCGAAGGCAUCUCACGAAUCCGCGAUUGACGCGGAUGCACGAAAGCGUGGGUAUCAAACAGGAUUAGAUACCCGUGUAGUC